GAUGAAGAACGUAGCGAAAUGCGAUAAGUAGUGUGAAUUGCAGAAUUCAGUGAAUCAUCGAAUCUUUGAACGCACAUUGCGCCCUUUGGUAUUCCUUAGGGCGUGCCUGUUCGAGCGUCAUCUAAACCUUCAAGCCCUGCUUGGUGUUGGGUGCCUGUCCCGCCUCUGCGCGUGGACUCACCUCAAAUCCAUUGGCGGCCCCCGCGUCGGCCACGAGCGCAGCAGAAACGCGAACUCGUGAGCCCGUCCGGGCGGCUCCCAGAAGCUAACCCCCAAUUUUUGACCUCGGAUCAGGUAGGGAUACCCGCUGAACUUAAGCAUAUCAAGCGGAGGA
rnacentral:misc_RNA from 1 species